AUGCAGACACUCCAUUUCUCCAACUGGGGACACAGCAAGAUAUUGCACAUACCUUCCCUUGCUCUUGUGCUGUUGGUCUGCUUGGUCUCUCCUACGAGUUCCUGCACGGAGCAGGAGAAGGCCUCCCUUCUCCAGUUCCUCUCCGGGCUUUCACAAGACGGUGGCCUCGCUGCGUCCUGGCAGCAUGGCAUGGAUUGCUGCCAGUGGGAAGGGAUCACCUGCGGGCAAGAUAGGACGAUCACCGAUGUCUUGCUGGCUUCAAAGGGCCUUGAGGGGCACAUCUCAGAGUCCCUUGGGAACCUAACUGGGCUGCAGCACCUUAACCUCUCCCACAAUUCACUCUCCGGUGGUCUGCCACUGGAACUGGUAUUGUCCAGCAGCAUCCUUGUCCUUGACAUCAGCUAUAAUCAGUUCAACGGAACACUGCCAGAGCUGCCAGCUUCGACCACUGCCGGACCACUCAAGGUACUCAACAUCUCAAGCAACUUCUUUACAGGACAGUUCCCAUCCACCGCAUGGAAGGGAAUGGAGGAUCUGGUCGCGCUCAAUGCCAGCAACAACAGAUUUACUGGGCAGAUAUCAACUCAUUUCUGUAGCACCUCCCCAUCCAUCUCCGUGCUUGAUUUGUCUUUCAACCGCUUCAGUGGCAGCCUCCCCCAAGGCCUUGGUGAUUGUUCAAAGAUGAUAGAGCUCAGGGCCGGGUACAACGACCUCAGUGGAACUAUCCCAGAUGAACUCUUCAUUGCUACUUCGUUGGAAUACCUGUCUCUUUCUAACAAUCAUUUGCAUGGGGUUCUUGAAGAUGCACACAUAUUUAACCUCAGAAAUCUGUCUACCCUUGAUCUUGGAGAGAACAAUUUCAGUGGCAAGAUUCCAGAUUCCAUAGGCCAGCUCAAGAAAUUGCAGGAGCUCCAUUUGAACAACAACAAUAUGUCAGGGGAGCUGCCAUCGGCAGUGAGCAAUUGCAUAAAUCUGAUAAUAAUUGACCUCAAGAGCAACAAUUUCAGUGGAGAACUUGCCAAUGUGAAUUUCUCCAACCUGCUCAACCUAAAAACUUUAGACCUUCUGUACAACAACUUCACCGGGAAAGUUCCAGAAAGCAUAUACUCUUGCAGCAACCUGACUGCACUGCGGUUAUCUGGCAACAAAUUACAUGGGCAGCUUUCACCACGAAUAGGUGAUCUGAAGUACCUCACCUUCCUGUCACUUGGUAAAAAUUCUUUUGAAAACAUAAAAAAUGCACUUCACAUCCUUCAGAGCUGCAAGAACCUUACCACCUUGCUUAUAGGGCAGAAUUUCAUAGGAGAGCACAUGCCAGCGGAUGAGAAAAUUGAAGGUUUUGAGAAACUUCAGGUUUUGGACAUCGGAGGAUGCCCAUUGUUUGGAAAAAUACCUCUUUGGAUAUCAAAUCUAGCAAAUUUAGAGGUAUUAGUCUUAUCCGACAAUCAACUCACUGGAUCAAUACCAGCCUGGAUCAAAGCCCUAAAGCACCUCUUCUAUCUAGACAUAAGAAACAACACCCUCACAGGGGAAAUUCCAACAAUAUUGAUGGAUAUGCCAACACUAAUGUCAGAGAAGACAGAAGCUCAUUUGGACCCCAGGCUCUUCGAGUUGCCUAUUUAUAAGAGCCCAUCACUCCAAUACCGCAUACCCAUUGCUUUCCCUAAAGUGCUGGAUCUAAGCAACAAUAAAUUCACUGGUGAGAUACCUCUGGAGAUUGGUCAGUUGAAAGCUCUCCUUUCACUCAAUUUUAGCUUCAACUACUUGACAGGACAGAUUCCACAAUCAAUAUGCAAUUUAACAAACCUGCUGGUGCUAGACCUUUCCAACAACAAUCUUACAGGUGCAAUACCAGGUGCAUUGAAUAGCCUGAACUUCCUUUCAGCAUUCAACAUUUCUAACAAUGACCUGGAAGGGCCUAUUCCAUCUGGAGGGCAGUUUAAUACAUUUCCGAAUUCUAGUUUUGAUGCGAAUCCAAAGUUGUGUGGCUCUAUGCUCACUCACAAAUGCGCAUCAGCUUCAACACCUCUAGUCUCCCAAAAUCACAGAAAUAAGAAGGUUAUUUUUGCAAUCACAUUUAGUGUGUUCUUUGGAGGCAUUGCAAUUCUUUUGUUGCUCGGGCGUCUCCUCGUCUCAAUCAGGGCCAAGGGUUUAAAUGCAGAAACUAGAAGGGAUAAUGAUGGAGAUGCUGAAGCAACUUCAGUCUACUGCAGCUCAGAACAAACAUUAGUAGUGAUAAGGAUGCCACAAUUCAAGGGAGGAAAAAAAAUGCUCAAAUUCAAUGACAUUUUGAAAGCUACGAACAACUUUCACAAGGACAACAUCAUUGGAUGUGGAGGGUUCGGAUUAGUCUACAAGGCAGAGCUACCUGAUGGUUCCAAGCUAGCAAUUAAAAAGCUCAAUGGUGAAAUGUGUCUGAUGGAAAGGGAGUUCAGUGCAGAGGUCGAUGCUCUAUCCAUGGCACAACAUGAAAAUCUUGUACCGCUGUGGGGUUACUGCAUCCAGGGAAACUCAAGGCUCCUCGUAUAUUCCUACAUGGAGAAUGGCAGCCUGGAUGAUUGGCUUCAUAACAGAUAUGACGAUGCUAGCUCAUAUUUUGACUGGCCAACUCGGCUCAAGAUCGCGCAAGGAGCAAGCCUGGGCCUUUCUUAUAUCCAUGAUGUCUGCAAGCCUCAGAUUGUCCACCGUGACAUCAAAUCCAGUAACAUCCUACUGGACAAAGAAUUUAAAGCUUAUGUUGCUGAUUUUGGGCUAGCCAGAUUGAUUGUUCCCAACAGAACUCAUGUUACAACUGAGUUGGUCGGCACUAUGGGUUACAUUCCCCCUGAGUAUGGGCAAGCAUGGGUUGCUACGUUGAGAGGUGAUAUAUACAGUUUUGGAGUAGUCCUGCUUGAGCUGCUCACUGGAAUGCGACCUGUUUCAGUCCUAUCUACAUCAAAAGAACUUGUCCCAUGGGUUCUACAGAUGAGGUCUGAGGGCAAGCAGAUCGACGUCUUGGAUCCAACACUUAGAGGAACAGGGUAUGAAGAUCAAAUUCUGAAGGUGCUUGAAACCGCUUGCAAGUGUGUCGAUCAUAAUCAAUUCAGGAGGCCAGCUAUGAUGCAAGUAGUCUCCUGCCUGGCCAGUAUAGACGAUGACCUACAGAUAUAA
rnacentral:rRNA from 1 species